rnacentral:misc_RNA from 1 species
UUUAUGCAUAAAUAUAUGUUCUCACACCACAUUGGAUUCGCAAGCCACCUGUGAAAAGUAAAAUGAAACAACAGCAUCCCUUACUAUGAGAUCCCAAGUCAUUUUGCUCCCAAUGGAUUUGCAUGGCUACAGGACCUUUUAGCUGUAGUAGAGCUCGAGGCCCAUGCCAUCGUGAAUCUCAUAAUCCUUAAGAGUGAUAUGAUCCUUGUAUACGGUGUACCACUUCUGUAUCCUUAUCUUCUCGGCUCUAGUGCCGGUCUGCGCCGCUACCAGCUUCUUCAGGUCGCCGAUUGUGUCGUCCUCAUUACACUUCACUCUC